UCCCUACGGUAACCUAGUGAGGUGACUCUCACUAUCGCCAUCUUACAGAUAAGACCACUGAGGCACUGGCUCCGGGCUUCUCAUCCAGUUGGCGGCACAGAGGAGUCCAAGGUCAGGUUGUCUAGAGUCCAGCUCUUCUCACGACCCUAGUCCGCCUCCACAGAACCAGGGACGCCGGACAAGGAGGACACUGCCUUCAGGACCCUUCUGCGGAGGUCCCUCAUGGUGCAGAAGUUGGGAGUAGAGGCAGAAACAGCUGUGAAAAUUCUGAUUUGUUUGUUUCUCUGAGCCAAGCUAAAGUGGAUAAUGAAGCCAAGCUGGCGAUUACCUUCCUGUGCGUGAUAAUGGUGGUAGUGGUGAUGCUGACUGCAGCAGGAUGACGGUGAUGUCAGCAGCGACACCAUUGGUCUUAUUGAUGGUGGCAGUGCCCAGGGUGGUGUGGGGGUAAUAGCAUGAGUGGGUGCUGGGAUGCUGUUAGUGAUCCUGCUAGGGCCAGGUUAGCUUGGAGGGGAGAGUGAUGUCCAUCACUGCAGUGGUGGCAAUGCUGCUAGAGACCUCCUGAGUAGUUGGACUCGGGCUGGCAUUGCUGCUGGGACCUUCCCUCACCCCCAUCAGGAAGACCCCUCUGCUCCUCCCCACCCUCAGUGAAGGGGGCAGGGCUCAGAGCCUUCCGUAGAACUGGCUUUAUUGCAUUCCCUGUUCUGGACAGUGUAAGCGAUGGCCCUGCCUCUCGAGAGGGACAAAUGUGAUAAAUAACCAGGGAGGACAAGCGGGAGGAGGCAGUCCUGCCACCAGAAGUCAUAAGUCUCUGUCCAGCCAUGUGACAGGCUCAUUACGGAAAGCUUCGGGGCCAUCCCGGGCUGCAGGGCCUGGGGCUCGGGAGAGCCCUCCAAUGCGUGGCUACUGAUGAAUCUGCAGCUCAGGGCUCGUGGAAUCACCAGCCUCAAUCUCUCCACCCUUCCCGCACACCAGACCAGUCAUGCCCAACUCACCCUGCAGCUGCGGCCACUCUUUCACCUCCCUCCCUCCAUCCUGGGAAAUCCAGGAAGGCAUUUGACAAAGCCUUUCCUGGUGUUCUUGGAAAUAGGAUGGACAAAUAUGAGCUGGAUAGCAGUCCAGUUAGAUGCACUGGACUCCAACAGACCCACAGAGGCCUGGGUUCACAUCCCAGCUCCAGCACUUACAGGACAUGUGAUGUUGGCAGUUGCCUUAACCUCUCCUCGUCUGCAAAGCGAUGACAGCACAAACUCUGCUUCGUUCAGUUGAAAAUAUCCUGCGUGGCUAGAUACCAUCCUAUCCUAAGGAAACAAGCACAAAGAUGCUAUUUGCCUGAUGACACACAGCUAAUAAGUGACAGAACUUGCAUUUGAACCGAGGAUGCAGAUACUGCUGGUCCAGAGGCCACACUUGGAGAACCACUGGUGUAGUGCAACCUGCUGAUAGCAUGCCUGGAGCCCCUGCACCCACGCGGGUGCACCCAUCCCUCAGCUACUGUGGAUAUUGGCUGCUAAUGGCUCCCAGCUGCCCCUCUGCUGGGGUCUCACCAUCUGCUGAUGGGAAGCACCUUGCCCUGGAGGUUACCCACCCCCCAACAGCGCACAGCAGGUGCCUCCCCAGCUUGAGACAGACCAGGAGAAACCUCAUCCAUGCACAUUCUCCAGAAGGGACCAGGAAUGAUGAGAUGUUCCACUUCCAGCUCUUUGAGUUUCUCCAUGGCUCCCCCACCCCACUCUCCAUCCCAUCCUCCCCUGGGCUGAGCUGACAGCUGUCAGGCUAAGAGGAGUGACAGCUGAAAAAUUCCCACACCCUCCAAUAUUGGAGCAGAUGAGUAUGGAGACAACUGAGGAACCCAGAGUGUCUCCCAGCUGGAGACACCAAUUCCAAAAACAGGACUCCCAAAUCAUUGUCUCUUAGUAUCAAGAUCUCUCCUUCCAACAGUGGAGCCCAGGUA
rnacentral:lncRNA from 10 species